rnacentral:lncRNA from 1 species
GAGGAAAAAAGCUCCCAUAUCUCAUUCAUUACGAUUAAAUUUAUUUCCUCCUUCAUUGCUUUCCCUCCACUUUGAUACUGUUUAGCUUCUUCAAAGCUUGAUGGAUCAGUUGAAUCAUUUCAAAAACAUUCACUUUUUCUUUUAUUCAUCCUCAACAAGAUAUCGUGGUGCUCGUCCCUCCAUGACUUCCACAUUCUGCUCAUUUUGAGCUCUUUCUACAGUUUCCACAGGUUAUGGCGUUAUGCUAUCUCAUCACCACCACCAACGUUGUUAUCCUUUUUCUCACUUUCUUCCUAAAAAACAUCAUCAUCUUUCCAAGUCAGUUCAUCCGCACCAUGAUGAUCUUGAUCUUCUUCACAG